rnacentral:misc_RNA from 1 species
AGGCAAGAGUGCUAAAUAUAAAGAUUUGGCAAUCCUCCCCCUUGAGCUAGUGUUUAGGUUUGAGUUAGGCCCUGUCCAUUUUUUGUAUUGGUAUCAAAGCCAACCCUUGUCUUGAUGGGGAGGCCACCAACAAAUGUUUAUGCCUGCAAACUUUAUAUUCCAAAUGUCCAUGUCUAGACGUGAGGAGUUGUAUUAUUACACGUUUUGGGAUAAAGUAGGAAGUCUAUACAAGGACUUGGCCAAUCGUCCCCCAUUAAUAUAGUUUUAGGGGUUGAGUUAGGUUCUGUCUAUUUUCUCUACAUAGACAUUGGCGGGUAUAGGAGUUCAAGUGAAUAAAGCAUACAGUUUGCUGCUAGAAAUCUCUCAUAUAUGACAAAAAUCAAUACAAGCACCAACUUAGAGGGUGACUUUUAAUUAAAAUCAAUUGUGGUGGGAUUUUUGAGUGGCUAUAUGAAGUAAAGGAAAAUGAUAAAAGGGAUCCAAUGUAUGAUAAAGUCCUCUUUUAUAUUAUUUAUAAAAUUAAUUAUUGGAAUUUCAAAAGUCAUUUUGUCUUAAAUUAAAAUUGCACCUAUUAUUUAUAAUAAAAAUAAACACUAAAUGAGAUAUAACUCAAAAGUUUCCAAUAAUUUAUAUUAACAUUACUAAGGAUCAUAGCUUAUUAAAUAACUUUAACACGUGAAAAUACUGCAAUGUCACAUAAUAUAAUAAUAAAAAAAGACUCUCCACCUGGUAACUUUUUACUGAUCCUUUUCCACAGCUUAGCUUUAUAAUAUUUGUAUAAAUAGAUAUAGAGAUAUGUGUUCUUAAACUUGCUGUGACUCUGUAAAAUAUAGAAAAAAUAGAGAUUUCUUGAAAGAAGUAAAAGAAAGGAAUACAAAUAACAUGUUAUGUACUCACAGAGAAUACUAAUUCACACACAAUCAAAAUCAGGCAGAUCACUGCAUUCCUACAAUAUUUGCUUUGAUGAGUCUAUUCAGUUCUUCCUUGGCUAUUGACAUGCCACUGCCGUAGGAUGGCUAUAGAAGAUCCAAAUUCACGCUGAUUGAGCUAAAAGACUUGAAAGUGAUCUUCCAGCUUUCAUCAAUACCUAAGACCAUAAGAAGUCCAGCAUAAAUGAUUUCCCUCUUUAUUUCAACCAUCUGGCUAGAAUUUGAACUUUUGGUGUUCAGAAUUUCUUUUUCAACUUACUAGCUUUUUGA